AUAUGUACACCCAUAUAGGUGUAUGUGUGUGUGUAUAUAUAUAUAUACACACACACAUACACCUAUAUGGGUGUACAUAUU
rnacentral:pre_miRNA from 11 species